GACGUAGGGCGCGAGCGUUGUCCGGAUUUAUUGGGCGUAAAGAGCGUGUAGGCGGCUUUGCAAGUCGGGUGUGAAAGCCCUCAGCUCAACUGAGGAAGUGCGCCCGAAACUGCAGAGCUUGAGUACCGGAGAGGGUGGCGGAAUUCCCCAAGUAGAGGUGAAAUUCGUAGAUAUGGGGAGGAACACCGGUGGCGAAGGCGGCCACCUGGACGGUCACUGACGCUGAGACGCGAAAGCGUGGGGAGCAAACAGG
rnacentral:rRNA from 1 species